AAAGGAUCACUUGAACCCAGGAGGUGGAGGUUGCAGUGAGCCGAGGUCACGCCACUGCACUCCAGCCUGGGAGACAGAA
rnacentral:snRNA from 1 species